CACCGAACAAACAACACGGAAAGCCCACAUGCACAUCACACCGUCCGACUCCGUCUCCCGUAGUUCCUGGAGCUGCCCCGCUGGAGAUCGCGGGCGGGAGGUGAGAUGGCUGAUGACGAGCUGAAGAGAGUCACCCCGGCCGCAAGUGUUGUGAGUGUGGGCCACCAGUCCAAACCACGGAAAGCCCACAUGCACAUCACAGCGACCGGGACAAUGACGACGUUGUUGCAGUGGACAGGGAGCUGCGGAGGACGAGCGAGUUGUUGGCCAGGGUGCUGUCUAGAGGGACGUUCGUACGCCUUAUGCGGCACCGCGACGGUCGCGCGUCAGCCGGACUUCGACGGGCCGGUCAACAGCAGCAGGGGAGUCACCGGCCGGCGCCGACGAGGCCGCUGUCAACAUGGCGAGGGCCUUCCACGACGCGUACAAACACUACUGGACGGAACACACGGCACGGCGACCACUUGAACAACACGGCGCGGGACACCACGUGCAACCCGGUGGGAGAGUGAGAGAGAGGGGUGGUGAGGGCACUAGAGAGGGUGGGUGUCCUGCCUGCUCGACGCCUGCAGGACGAGUGAGCUCGCCCGCCGCGCGGGCCCGAGUCCUGGGGUCCUGCGGGCCGGGUCCUGUCUCACUCCCCCGCGGUAGCCUCCCCUCCCCACUCCACGAUAUAUCUCUCUCGCUCUCUCUAUCUCUCUCUCUCUCUCCCCAUCCAGCUGGGUGGUAGUUUUUGUUUGCAUAUGAUAUCUGUGUCGCUUUGGUGCCUGCUUUGGUCACCCCGGUUCUCGCUCUCGGCUUUCGCAGGUCGCAUUAGGAGAGGCGAAAUAAGUGUCAACAGGAUGCCUUUCGUUGCAUCCCCUGAAACAUCAUGACAUUUAUGACAGUCAACUAAUAUUUUUUACCUUGAGAUAAAUGACUUGUAUAAUCUAUUUUAUCAAGAGUAUAGUUACAGAUGCUAGACGUGAA